AGGACCCCAAGCUGGCCUGGCCACUAACCUUGAGCUUUUUCUAUUCCAGGACUCCGAAGGCGAGGCUCAGACUCAGCAAGUGGAGAAGAGGAGGCGGCCUCUGAGUUACAAAGACUGAACAUAAAGAAAGACGGUAAGGAAACGCUGUUCCCAAGCCCGUGUGCCCGGCUGCUCCAGGCUGCU
rnacentral:lncRNA from 1 species